rnacentral:rRNA from 1 species
GCUGGCGGCGUGCCUAAUACAUGCAAGUCGAGCGAGUUUGCCUAGAUGAUUUUAGUGCUUGCACUAAAUGAAACUAGAUACAAGCGAGCGGCGGACGGGUGAGUAACACGUGGGUAACCUGCCCAAGAGACUGGGAUAACACCUGGAAACAGAUGCUAAUACCGGAUAACAACACUAGACGCAUGUCUAGAGUUUGAAAGAUGGUUCUGCUAUCACUCUUGGAUGGACCUGCGGUGCAUUAGCUAGUUGGUAAGGUAACGGCUUACCAAGGCAAUGAUGCAUAGCCGAGUUGAGAGACUGAUCGGCCACAUUGGGACUGAGACACGGCCCAAACUCCUACGGGAGGCAGCAGUAGGGAAUCUUCCACAAUGGACGAAAGUCUGAUGGAGCAACGCCGCGUGAGUGAAGAAGGGUUUCGGCUCGUAAAGCUCUGUUGGUAGUGAAGAAAGAUAGAGGUAGUAACUGGCCUUUAUUUGACGGUAAUUACUUAGAAAGUCACGGCUAACUACGUGCCAUCAGCCG